CGCGCGCUGUGUGCGCCGUACACACACAUGAAACAGUAACUUCGUCACUUUGUUGUGGACCAGCUGCCCCGUUUUGAAUCACGGACUGUCUGUAAAGGACAAGGAACUGCGGGAAGCAACAGGAACCUCGCUCCCCGUGACCGACAGAGCACACCACAAGCAGCAGUUUGAAAUGGCGGAGAGAGGAGGAGAGAAGAGGGGCUGCAGAGAGGCUGCAGACAAAACCCAGAGUGGAGCUGCAGAUCUGAGUGGAGGUGGACUGACUGGAGAUGUAUCACCAGAAGUGAAUGGCAGCUUCUUAUUGUCAAUCAGCUUCCACAGACCAUUAUUGCUGUCAUGUCUUUCAGAUGGCUGAAGUCUUCUCCAACAGAAUCAUUGAGACCACUCUUCUCUUGGGAAACUUCAAUGCAGCAGAAACCUUUUUUGCGGCCUUCCCCAGAUCUGUGCUUCGAUUCCGUCCUGUCUCUGAGCUCUGCAGGCAGCUCCUUCCACCUCAUGGCUUGCUGUUUGCUCAGAUGUACACUGUCAGCUGGGACAUCUAGGGGCCUGGCUUAGCUGUGGGUCUUUCCAAAUCAUGUCCAAUCAGUUGAUUUCAGCACACUCCAAUAAAAAAAGAAGUUCAAGUGUUAUAGCAAAGUGUCUGAAUGCAAUGUGAUAUUUCGCCAUUUGCUUUUAAGCCAUUUAAAAACAUUUCUGAAAUUAUGUUUUCCACUUCAUCAUGUAGUAUUAUAUAGAGACUGAAAACUUUCCGGUAACAAUGAACAUAACUAUUUGUGGCUUGCUCAGGGACACUGUCAGUUGGCUGUGUGUGUAAGAAUGAGGCGUCCCUGCUUCUCUUCAGCGUGUGUGGAAGCAGGGGUGGACUCAAAUGAUAACACAGGCUGUGACUCUGACUCCAUCCCAACCCCUCGCGUCACACACACCACCAGAAGACACAUUUCUUCGGCUAACCUUGGUUAAGCAGGUAUUUUUUACAUUUUUACACUCACCAGUGGUAAUAAAGUCACGACUGAUACUGAGACUGAACUAAUCAGGAAACGCGGGUGACUGUGUCAUUUUCCCCCAAAAUUCCAGCCACAACCCCAAAGUCAAACCCAAAAGUUUUUUUUCCAAGAAGUCCAGUUUUAGAGGCUCAGAAACUCCAGAGUUUGUGUGCGUGUUGAUGUAAACAUAGCAACA